rnacentral:tRNA from 1 species
GGGGUCGUGGUGUAGCUUGGUUAACACGUCAGAUUGUCAAUCUGAAGACCGCGGGUUCGAAUCCCGUCGACCCCG